rnacentral:rRNA from 1 species
UGCAGUCGAGCGAGGCGGGUAGCAAUACCCAGUCGAGCGGCGAACGGGUGAGUAACACGUGGAUAACCUGCCCUGAGGUGGGGGAUAACCCGGGGAAACUCGGGCUAAUACCGCAUGAUACCGAGAGGUCAAAGGGGGCUCGCAAGGGCUCUCGCCAUAGGAGGGGUCCGCGUCCGAUUAGCUAGUUGGUAGGGUAACGGCCUACCAAGGCGACGAUCGGUAGCCGGCCUGAGAGGGUGAUCGGCCACACUGGAAUUGAGACACGGUCCAGACUCCUACGGGAGGCAGCAGUGGGGAAUUUUGCGCAAUGGGCUAACGCCUGACGCAGCAACGCCGCGUGGAGGAUGAAGGUCUUUGGAUUGUAAACUCCUGUCAGCAGGGAAAAAGCGAAUUGGCCUAAUACGCCAGUGAGUUGAUUGUACCUGCAGAGGAAGCCCCGGCUAACUCUGUGCCAGCAGCCGCGGUAAUACAGAGGGGGCAAGCGUUAUUCGGAAUUAUUGGGCGUAAAGGGCGCGUAGGCGGCUUGGCAAGUGGAUGGUGAAAUCCCUCGGCUUAACCGAGGAACUGCCGUCCAAACUGCUUUGCUUGAGGCCGGGAGAGGCGAGUGGAAUUCCCAGUGUAGCGGUGAAAUGCGUAGAUAUUGGGAGGAACACCAGUGGCGAAGGCGGCUCGCUGGACCGGUUCUGACGCUGAGGCGCGAAAGCGUGGGGAGCAAACGGGAUUAGAUACCCCGGUAGUCCACGCUGUAAACGAUGAGUGCUUGGUGUAGCGGGUAUCGACCCCUGCUGUG